rnacentral:rRNA from 1 species
UACGGAGGGUGCAAGCGUUGUCCGGAUUUAUUGGGUUUAAAGGGUGCGUAGGCGGCCCGUUAAGUCAGUGGUGAAAGCCUCCAGCUCAACUGGAGAACUGCCAUUGAUACUGACGGGCUUGAGUACAGACGAGGUUGGCGGAAUUGAUUGUGUAGCGGUGAGAUGCAUAGAUACAAUCAAGAACUCCGAUUGCGUAGGCAGCUAACUAGGCUGUAACUGACGCUGAGGCACGAAAGCGUAGGGAGCGAACAGG